rnacentral:rRNA from 1 species
UACAGAGGGUGCAAACGUUGCUCGGAAUUAUUGGGCGUAAAGCGCACGUAGGCGGUUUGGUAAGUUGGAUGUGAAAACCCUGGGCUCAACCCUGGAAGUGCAUACAAGACUGCCAAGCUAGAGUAUCGGAGGGGGUCGGAGAAUUCCCGGUGUAGAGGUGAAAUUCGUAGAUAUCGGGAGGAACAUCUGUGGCGAAGGCGCCGACCUGGACGAAAACUGACGCUGAGGUGCGAAAGCAUGGGGAGCAAACAGG